GACGAACGCUGGCGGCGUGCCUAAUACAUGCAAGUAGAACGCUGAAGAGAGGAGCUUGCUCUUCUUGGAUGAGUUGCGAACGGGUGAGUAACGCGUAGGGAACCUGCCUUGUAGCGGGGGAUAACUAUUGGAAACGAUAGCUAAUACCGCAUAAAAAUGGAUGACACAUGUCAUUUAUUUGAAAGGGGCAAUUGCUCCACUACAAGAUGGACCUGCGUUGUAUUAGCUAGUAGGUGAGGUAAUGGCUCACCUAGGCGACGAUACAUAGCCGACCUGAGAGGGUGAUCGGCCACACUGGGACUGAGACACGGCCCAGACUCCUACGGGAGGCAGCAGUAGGGAAUCUUCGGCAAUGGGGGCAACCCUGACCGAGCAAAGCCGCGUGAGUGAAGAAGGUUUUCGGAUCGUAAAGCUCUGUUGUAAGUCAAGAACGGGUGUGAGAGUGGAAAGUUCACACUGUGACGGUAGCUUACCAGAAAGGGACGGCUAACUACGUG
rnacentral:rRNA from 1 species